GUCUGUACUGAUGAUUUUGUCAUUUGAGCAAAGUAGUGAUGAGUAGAGUUUUGGGACAUGCCGCCUACUGGUUGGUACACACUUCCUUAUUCGCAUUACUACACAAUUCCAGCUUAAUGACUGUGUUUUACUGGCCAUUUGGGAAUCUACUACUUAAUAGCUACGAAAACGCGAAUUGAUUCCGACUGGCAGCUUUGGUGAGGAAAACAGCACCUGAACGGCCGCCAGAACUGCAGGAGCACGGAUGCCACUUGGUAAAGCGGUAUAUCGCAGGCGCUCCGUGCAUGAGUUUCAGUGGAGGAAAGGGAGAGUGGCGAUGUUGAGAGGCGGACCCUCAGUCUGUGUCACGAUCUUGGAAAUGAGCGGACCAAGGCACAGCUGAUGGUGCCAUUGAUUGUGCAGGCCUCUCUUCCCUCUGUAUAGAAGAGGAUCGAUGUGAAAGCACAUUGUCAAAGGGUUAAUUUCUAGGACCUGAGCCCUAGGACCGUGCCUCAGGACUAACAUUUGAACAUCUUGGCCAUGUUCUGUUAUAAUCUCCACCCGGCACAGCCAGAAGAGGACUGGCCACCCCACAUAGCCUGGUUCCUCUCUAGGUUUCUUCCUAGGUUUUGGCCUUUCUUGGGAGUUUUUCCUAGCCACCGUGCUUCUACACCUGCAUUGCUUACUGUUUGGGGUUUUAGGCUGGGUUUCUGUACAGCACUUUGAGAUAUCAGCUGAUGUACGAAGGGCUAUAUAAAUACAUUUGAUUUAAUUUAAUUUCCAACAUUUUGGUAGGCUAUUUGUUAGUUAACUUGUCCAUAAUUGUCACACCCUGACCUUAGUAUUUUGGUUAGGUCAGGGUGUGACAUGGGGAUUUAUGUGUUUUGUCUUGUCUAGGGUUUGUUGUAUGUUUAUGGGGUUGUUUCCUUUCUAGGUACUUUGUAUGUCUAUGGUUGCCUAGAUUGGUUCUCAAUUAGAGGCAGCUGUCUAUCGUUGUCUAAUAAUAAUAAUAAUAAUAUAUGCCAUUUAGCAGACGCUUUUAUCCAAAGCGUGCAUACAUGUGUGCAUACAUUCUACGUAUAGGUGGUCCCGGGAAUCGAACCCACUACCCUGGCGUUACAAGCGCCAUGCUCUACCAACUGAGCUACAGAAGGACUCUGAUUGGGAACCAUAUUUAGGCAGCCAUGUUCUGUGGGUAUUUUGUGGGUGGUUGUCUUCUGUCUUGUGUCAUUGCACCAGAUAGGACUGUUUCGGUUUUCACAUUUGUUGUUUUGUAUUUUGUAGUGUUCUCGUUUAUCAUCUAUAUUAAAGAUGUUGAACAUUAACCACGCUGCAUUUUGGUCCUCCUCUCCUUCAAUGGAAGAAAACCAUUACAAUAAUUAGAUACAUGCAGCUUAUCUUCUGUCAUUAUACUGUAUGUUGCCCUGGAAGACUACAUAAACCCCUUGCUCACCAGAAUAAUGUCAUAGAUUGAUAGAAUGAAUGCUUCAAUCUAGUUGACAAUUCUCUCUGUCAAAGAUUUUUCUCUGUUAAGAUUUUCUGUACAAAAUGUCCAAAUAACAUCUGUUUGACUGUGAAAACGACCCAAUGUGUUUCUGAUUAGAUUUCAGUUUGGUUUAGAUGCAUAUUUUAUGUGUUUGAAAUACUAUCAGAAAUCAGAUUUCAGAAAAUCAGAUUUCUUCACUCCUGUUCCCAAGUCCACAUUAGCAAUCUAGCCAAAGUUAGCCAGUUAGCUUGGAUGCUUGAAUGCAGUUGUGCUUCAUUUGUAAAUGAUGUCUGUGUUGGAGUGUAUCUGUACAUUUUAAAAACAAGAAAAUCGUGCUGUCUGGUUUGCUUAAUAUAAGGAAUUUGAAAUGAUUCAUACAUUUACUUUGAUCUUUGAUACUUAAGUAUAUUUCAAAUCAAAUACUUUUAGACUUUUACUCAAGUAGUAUUUUACUGGGUGACUUUCACUUUUACUGAAGACAUUUUCUGUUAAGGUUUCUGUACUUUUACUCAAGUAUGACAAUUGGGUACUUUUCCCACCACAGCGUGUGAGCUACUUCCAGACACAAAUGAGACCUGACCAUUUUACUCGCCCUAGAGCUGGUUUAGGCUGUUUUCAUGUGAUGGUGACUGUCACUUUGCUGCUGGAAAACAAUUUAAUAACGUUUUUUUGCCGACAUUUACUGACACCAGUCAUAUUCAACAGGUGUUGCUUUUUCGUAAAUUCAUCAGUUACUUUGCACUCUAGCACCCUCAUCAGAGUAGAUAGCCAGAGUGAAUUUACGAAUGCACCCUUCAUCAGGAACAGUGAGACCCAUCCACCUGAGAUAAGUGUAAAGGGACAGAGGACUGAGGUGGUUUCACAUUUGAAAUACUUAGGAAUAAUUAUUGACUCUAAGCUGUCCUUCAAAAAAGAAUACAUAAAGUAUAAUGAACAGUCAAAAGCAGCCUGGUCAUUUCAAAUUGAUCAGGAACCAAAUGUCAACAAAUGCUGCUAAGCUGUACAUGCACUCAAUGAUUUUGCCCCAUCUCUCGUAAACCUGUACUGUGUAUCACAGCAAUGAAACCACUGCAAAAGCUCUAUUAAAAGAAAACUCUGAAAGUGCUGCACUAAAAACCAAACACCUAUCACCAAUGCAAUAUCAUUAAGAAAUACAACCUACUGAGCUUUGACAGCUUCUUAUGCCGACACCUCUCUGCUGUUUAAGAACACUCACGACCUUUAUCUUUAUGCUAUUUGCCUCAUGACUCCUGCAUGCUUUGUUGACUAUGAACUUGCUUGCUUACCCAACCGUGGGGCAGUCUAUGUUUGUUCCCACACUCAGGACUCUGACUCUCUAUUGGUUACAUGGACUCUUGGCCUCCCAUCCUAUUCUAACCACCUCUCAUUGCCUUUGUAUUCAUGUUACCUGAUGAAAUUGCUGUACAAUAUGAUCUUGUUGCCAUCUAAUGCACAUUCAAAUGUUAUAAAUCAACACUGCAGAGCUCUCCCUGUCCUCUGCCAUGCCCCGAUUGUAUUACUGCUGAUUAUAUCUGGAAAUGUGCAUGUACACCCUGGCCCAUCUACUGUUGCUAGCCCCAAUUCUGAUUUGUGCCCUGAUACCUGCUUCACUGAUUUCUGCUCUUGUAAAAGCCUGGGUUUUCUGCACAUUGACACUAGAAGCUUAUCACCUAAAAUGUAUCAAUUGAAAGUGUGGGUUCACAGCUCCAAUCCAGAUGUGUUGGUCAUUACUGAGACGUGGUUAAGGAAGAGAACACUGAUGUUAACAUUUCUGUUUAUAACCUUUUUUGGCAAGACAGAUCUUCAAAAGGUGGUGGAGUGGCAAUCUUUACCAAGGAACACCUUCAGUGCUCGGUUGUCUCCACCAAGUCUGUCCCCAAACAAUUUGAUUUGCUGGUUUUAUGCAUUAAACUUUCAAAUAACUCUUUGUUGAAUGUUGCUGGGUGUUAUCGGCCACCAUCAGCACCGGCCUGUACUCUAAAUACCCUAAGCGCUCUCCUGGUCCCUUACACUAAGUCUGAAUUUGUCCUGCUAAGUGACCUAAACUGGGACAUGCUUAAACCACCUGACCAAGUCCUAAAGCAAUGGGACUCCCUAAAUGUUUCUCAGAUUAUUACCAAUCCCACAAGGUAUGACUCCAAACACCCAGAAAAGGCUACUCUCCUUGAUGUUAUCCUUACAAAUAAUCCUGAUAGGAAUCAAUCUUGUGUUUUCUGUAAUGACCUUAGUGAUCACUGUUUUACAGCCAGUGUUCGUAAUUACUGCCCAGUGAAAUGACCUGUCCUGACUCGUGACAGACACUUGCUAAAAAACUUUAAUGAGCAAGCCUUCCUUCAUGAUUUGGCCUCUGUAAACUGGUAUAGAAUCAGCUUGAUCACCUCUGUCGAAGACGCUUGGACCUUCUUUUUUAUAUUUUCAGUUUAAAAAAUACGCGCCAUAAAGAAAAUGAGAAUUAAAAACAGGUUCAGUCCCUGGUUGACCAUGAUCUGGCUGAGUUACUCCACCUCAAGAAUUCCAUUUGGCAAAUCGCUCGGGAACACGCAUACUCAGGGUGACUGGCUCUCGUCCAGCCAAAUUAGAAAUAAGUGCACUCAGGCUAUCCGGAAGGCCAAAGUUAGUCACUUAAGGACCAGUUCUCUCUCUGUGGGUCUAACCACAAGAAGUUCUGCAAAAUGGUAAAAGACCAUGUUUUGCCCGUCGAACAUUUCCCUCCCACCCCUUCUAAUGUGAAUAUCCCCGAUGCUCCUCCCUCUUUUUCCCCUGCUACAAAGUUUCUCCCUGCAGGUGGUCACUGAGUCUGAGGUAAUGGAGCUCCUUAAACUUGACCCCCAAAAAACAUCUGGUUCAGAUGGUUUAGACCCUUUCUUCUUUAAGGUUGCUGCACCUAUCAUCGCCACGCCCAUCGCUGACCUUUUUAACCUGUCCUGAAGGCAGCCAUGGCCAAGCUGAUCCUAUUAUUGCCCAAUUUCUAUUUUGCCCUGUUUAUCAAGUGUUGGAAAAACGUGUCAAUAAUCGACUGUGGUUUCCACUCAAGUUAUGGAUGUGUCACUGCAAACUUAAAGGGCUGAAAUUAUGUCACAAUUGCCCUUGAUUCUAAGCAAUGUUGUGCUGCUAUUUUUAUUGACUUGGCCAAAGCUUUUGAUACAGUAUACCAGGGCUGCCCAACAGUCUUCCUGGAGAUCUACUGUCCUGUAGGUUUUCAGUCCAACCCCAAUUUAGCAUAUCUGAUUCAGCUAGUUACGGUCUUGUUGAGCAGAUAAUUAGUCGAAUCAGGUGUGUUAAAUUAGGGUUGGACUGAUCUCCAGGAAGAGGGUUAGGCAGCCCUGCGGUAGACCAUUCCAUUCUUGUGGGCCGGCUAAGGAGUAUUGGUGUCUCUGAGGGGUCUUUGGCCUGGUUUGCUAACUACCUCUCUCAAAGAGUACAUUGUAUAAAGUCAGAAUUUCUGCUGACUCAGCCGUUGCCUGUCACCAAGGGAGUACCCCAAGGCUCAAUCCUAGGCCCCAUGAAUUUCUCAAUUUACAUCAACAACAUAACUCAAGCAGUAGGAAGCUCUCUCACCCAUUUAUAUGCAGAUGAGACAGUCUUAUACUCAGCUGGCCUCUCCCCGGAUUUUGUGUUAAACGCUCUAUAACAAAGCUUUCUUAGUGUCCAACAAGCUUUCUCUGCCCUUAACCCUGUUCUGAACACCUCCAAAACAAAAGUAAUGUGGUUUGGUAAGAAAAAUGCCCCUAUCCCCACCGGUGUGAUUACUACCUCUGAGGGUUUAGACUCUAAACUCUAGAGCUUGAGGUAGUCACCUCAUACAAGUACUUGGGAGCAUGGCUAGUACAGUGUCUUUCUCUUAGCACAUAUCAAAGCUGCAGGCUAGGGUUAAAUCUAGACUUGGUUUCCUCUAUUGUAAUCACUCCUCUUUCAUCACAGCUGCCAAACUAACCCUGAUUCCGAUGAACAUCCUACCCAUGCUAGAUUACGGAGACGUAAUUUAUAGAUCAGCUGGUAUGGAUGCUCUCGAGCGGCUAGAUGUUCUUUACCAUUCGGUCAUCAGAUAUGCCACCAAUGCUCCUUAUAGGACACAACACUGCACUCUAUACUCCUCUGUAAACUGGACAUCUCUGUAUACACGUAGCAAGACCUACUGAUUGAUGCUUAUUUAUAAAACCCUCUUAGGCCUCACACCCCCUAAUUGAGAUACCUACUGCAGCCCUCAUCCUCCACAUACAACACCCGUUCUGCCAGUCACAUUCUGUUAAUGGUCCCCAAAGCACACACAUCCCUGGCUCACUCCUCAUUUCAGUUCGCUGCAGCUAACGACUGGAACGAGCUGCAAAAAGCACUCAAACUGGACCGUUUUAUCUCAAUCUUUUCAUUCAAAGACUAAAUCAUGGACUCAGUGACAGUUGUGGCUGCUUCGCGUGAUUAUCUACCUUCUUGCCCUUUGUGCUGUUGUCUGUGCCCAAUAAUGUUUGUACCAUGUUUUGUGCUGCUACCAUAUUGUGCUGCUGCUAUGUUGCUACCAUGUUGUUGUCAUGUUGUGUUGCUACCAUGCAGUGUUUUCAUGUGUUGCUGCCAUGCUAUGUUGUUAUCUUAGGUCUCUCUUUAUGUAGUGUUAUGGUGUCUCUCUUGGUGUCUCUCUUGUCGCGAUGUGUGUUUUGUUCUAUAUUUAUUUUUGUUAUCAUUUUUAAAAUCCCAGCCCCCGUCCCCGCAGGAGGCAUUUUGCCUUCUGGUAGGUCGUUAUUGUAAAUAAGAAUUUGUUCUUAACUGACUUGCCAAGUUAAAUAAAGGUUAAAUAAAAUAAAACAUUUUUUAAAAACUUUCCCCACCACCUCUUAAGCAGUUUGAUACAUAUUGCAAAGACAAUACCAGGACAACAAGAGCUUCAACCAGAGUGGACAGCUCAACUCAGUUUGGGUCCACCAAAUUUGGUCAGACAACUUUUCCAGUCAGAGCGUCUGGAUUAAGGAACACCCUGCCAACCAGUGUGAGAGUGCUGCUCCUUUGCUAGGCAAACCAGUCAUGUGAACAAUAAGACAUUCAGAUACUGAUGACAAACACAGUGGGACCGAGGGUCAACUCUGAUGUAGUAUUAUCAUAUUGUCUAUUGUUGUAUAUUUGACAUUUUUUUAUAUAUACAUAUUUUAAUAUGAUGUUAUAUUUUAGCAUUGUAUUGAUGUAUUAAUGUUCAUUGUUUUCAGCCAGGGGACUACAGAUGUAAAUGUGCUAUCUAGCUAAAUCUGUUGCAAUGGUCCCUGACAAAUAAACAAAUGAAUAAAUAAAAACCUUUCUCUGA